rnacentral:rRNA from 1 species
AGUGAACGCUGGCGGUAGGCCUAACACAUGCAAGUCGAACGGCAGCACAGUAAGAGCUUGCUCUUACGGGUGGCGAGUGGCGGACGGGUGAGGAAUACAUAGGAAUCUACUUUUUCGUGGGGGAUAACGUGGGGAAACUUACGCUAAUACCGCAUACGACCUACGGGUGAAAGCAGGAGAUCUUCGGACCUUGCGCGAUUGAUUGAGCCGAUGUCGGAUUAGCUAGUUGGCGGGGUAAAGGCCCACCAAGGCAACGAUCCGUAGCUGGUCUGAGAGGAUGAUCAGCCACACUGGAACUGAGACACGGUCCAGACUCCUACGGGAGGCAGCAGUGGGGAAUCUUGCACAAUGGGCGCAAGCCUGAUCCAGCCAUACCGCGUGGGUGAAGAAGGCCUUCGGGUUGUAAAGCCCUUUUGUUGGGAAAGAAAAGCAGCAGGUUAAUACCCCGCUGUUCUGACGGUACCCAAAGAAUAAGCACCGGCUAACUUCGUG